GAGCAUUUUACCAUAUUAGUGAAUUACAGAAGGGUCAAUGGACUGAGCCUGAGGAGACCAGAGUGCAAGUCCAGUGCCUGACUGUUGUGGUGCAAAUGAACAGGAAGCCACCAUUCUCCCAGCUUUCUGCCUACCCGCUGAAGACUGCAAGACUCAGGUCAACCGUGACCCAAACAUGGAGCUGUCGUCCCAGCAUUGUGAAUAAGGGCAGCUGGGAGUUGGAGAGAUGGGAAGUGCAAGAGUUAAGAGAAAAACAAAACUUGGCUGAUGUGUUGGUCUCUGAGGUCCCAGUGGCAGUCAGCCAACUCACAGCUGUGGCCAAGGGGAGCUUGAAAAUUAGGGAAUGAGAAGCACCUUAAAGGGAAAACUUAUCUGCUUUUUCUUCCUGAAGGAAGGGUUUUCCAUAUAGUGGUUGAAGUCAUUUUCUCUCUCACCCAAAUAAUGGGAUUUCCUGAUGUAAAUUACCUCUUAUCAGUGAAAUGUAAACAAAAAAAAGAAGAUUAAUUAGGUGAGCAAUUAUUAUAUGGCAACCACUAAGCUAUGUACUUUACAUAUGUUAAUUUGUUUAUUCCUCAAAAUAACUUCAUAAGAUAGGUAUUGAUUUCAAAGCUGAGAAAACAGAAAGUAGAGGCACAGGGAAAAGAAGUAAAUUAGCCAAAAUAGUGGAGUAGUAAGUGAAAUUGGGUUAAGAUGUAAAGUCAAGCAGCCUAGCUCAAAAGGCUGCUGUCUUAUCGAUGCUUUGCUGCUACAUAAACUUGCUUGUGUGAGGGAAGAACGAAAGCGGAGACCACAGAACAGGAGGAACACAGGAAGCAGCAGCAGCACUAUGCCAACCAGGUAAGAGAGCAGAAGAAAAGAGGGAGCAGUGUGAUGGCGCAAAUGAGCACACAGUGCAGAAAAGAAAGGUGAGGUGGAAGCACCAAGGGUAGCAGAGCCCCAGAAAUUGUGUUGUUAAAUGAAUUUUCUGAAGUCUGUAAAGACUCUUUAAGAUACAUAGCCAAUAGCCAACAAAGUGGGCACGUCCAAGAACUCAGAGGAGGUGAUGAGAAGUGAUCAAGCGGCUCCGCAUGAAGUCUCCGCUCAUGACAAGGGACAAGAACCUCUCCAACUCAGCUUUCCUAACAAGCCCAUCAUGACGUCUGGUGGUAAACGCAGUGAUUCAGAGAUCACACCAGCUAGGACCCGGUGGUCCCAUCCAGCUCUGCUACUCCCUAGCUGUGCAUGUGAUCUUGAGCCUCAGUUUCUUCAUCUAUCAAAUGGGAUUAAGACUACUCCUCAUAGAGGUAUGGUGAGAGAUAGGUGAUCCACCAUUUAUACAGUCCCUCAGAGCCUGGUACACUGAUAAGUUGUGCAGAAUAAUUAAUAAUGAAUAUUAUUACUACUAACCUUGGGUCAUCUUCUAUGAGUUAAUUUCAUCUCAGAAUCUACAAUCUUGGACUUUUGCACACAUUGGAGGCAGGUGCCUUAUAUAUGGCGUUCAUCUAUGCAAUUGUUUUUCAUGCUCUGACUAAAGAACUUAUGAUGAUAACAAGAAACACAACCUGCAAGUAAAAAGGCAACACCUAAGGGCAGUAUUUGUACUUGCUGCAGAGUAAACAGCAUAAAUACUCAAUUUCAGGUCUAUAAAUAAACUUGAAGAGGAUUGU